CAGACGACCAGCCCAAAUCGGCGUGUUUCUACACUUUGACUUCCUCAAAGAAGUCACUGCGGAGCCGCAGUGAGGGCUCGUGGUCCCGCUUCUCCCUGCUGACACUCUCACGAGCCGAGGUUCAUGGGACCACGGGCACUCCGCGCCUCCGGCUGGGAGCGGCCCGGGGAGCAGCCGGCACCGGCGGCCAGGGCUCUCGGGAGGCGCCCGGCCCACCGCGUCCCUCCGGGCCCAGGCCGGCCUGGCGAGCACCACUCGCGGGGCCACCGGUGGGCCCUGGGGCCGCCCGGGCAGCUGGCGACGCCUGUUCCCCCGAGCCGCCCCCGGGAGUCCCGGUGGGUGCGGCGGGGCGAAGCGGGCGGGCACCGCAGCGGGAGCGGAGCCCGGCGGAGCGGAGGAGGCCCGGCCGGGUCACGCCCGCCCCCGGCCGCGCCACCGCCCCUUCCUGUCAUGGCCGCGGCCGGGCAGUGGCAGCUCGGCGGGGUGGCGCGGGCCGGCGCCUUCGGCUGCUGAGCGCCCCGUGGGCGGCGCGGAGCGGGGACGGCCCCAGCCCGGAGCCGGCGGCAGGAGAUACCUGCGAAGUACCUGCUGUCCACCACUUUCUUCAUUUAACUUCCCCCUGGGGUCGGCUGGUCUUCAGCAUGCCUUCAACCAAGAACACCUCAAAACUUUUCCUGGUCCUCGUGUCACUGCUGCUGGUGCUGCCAGUAGCUGAAGCCCUGGACGCAGGAGAUACCAUUGCCUUCCUCCUAGGCCUCGCUGUCAGCGUCAUCGGAUUCUGCGCUUGCCUUGGCUUGUAUGCAAGGAGAAGGAAUGGGCAGCAGUGACCUCAAGAAAAUGCUCAGAUGAAGUGAAUUUCCAAACAUGGCUUGGGGUUGGGUGUAGGACUGAGCUUUGGUUCUGGAUAACUUUCAAAAAAUAUGUAGUACAUACUUCUGCAAACCCCUCAUACUGUUCAGUACAACAAAGACUCUGCCCAGUAAAAAUGAUUUGAAUGAUCUGUCCUCAUUACAAAAAAGAUAAUUUUAUAUUGUUCAUGAUUAAAUAUUGCCUUAGGUAAAUAUUGCUGGGUAAAAACUUUUUGAAUGGAGAAGUAAAACUGUAGAGUGUCUCACAGUGAAAGUUUAUAAAUUUAGCAUGUGAGGGAGGCCAUCAACAAGUUCCAUAAUUUUGGUUUCAAUGUUUAAUCAGGAGGAAGCAGCUAUUAAUCUUCCAGUCAAGAUGACAAGACUUUUGAAAUUAGUCUUAACUAGAUAGCUAGUGAGCAGACUGCUCUAAGUUGUGUGCUCAUGCUCACGUUCUCUGUAAUGACAGUUUACACCUAACAGCUCACUGCUGCUGUCACGUGAAUGAGACUUAAGAGAACUAAGGAAACAUGAAAGGUUUUUUUUUCUUUUAGAAUAUUUUCAGAGUAUUUUUAUUUUAGAAUAUGCCACUUUGUAGCCCAUGUUCUUACUACCAAGUAGAUACACCUAAGAAUGAGAUCACCGUUUGUAUUUAACAUCUAGUUCAAGUAAAGUACAUGUAAUGCUAUGUAAAUCAGAUUAGGGGUAUGGACUCUGUCUCUUGUUUAUUUUUUGUACUUAUCCUUUUUUCUGGGCACACCAGGUUUAUUUGAUGUUUGUACUUUUUUCUCCAAAACCUAAGUCUUAACUGUUUUGUGUGAGAAAUUCUGUGUAUUUCUGCAUUAGGAGGUUAUUAGAACUAUAAUAAUAUCAUUGUGCAGAUGUUUCUUUUACAAUGUUGGAAGAACUUGUUAAAAUCCUGGGCUUAGUCAAUUAGUCUUUUGUCCUUGAAUGUAUUCCUCGUAACAAAACUAUGGUAAUAACUAAUAGGCUUCUCUAACCAAUGCAUAUGACUUCCAUAGAAGGUUUGGACCAAAACCAAAGUAAAAAAUCCUGGUGCAAAAUGGGAGAUGUAAAUAGUCUUAUUCUAUUCAUGCUCAGACGGAUUGUGUGGCCUAUGGCUGAAAGACAGUUGUGUGUCUAGGACCUGUUUCUUUAAGUACCAAAGGUGAAAUGGCUCAGCCAAGAGUGUUUGCCACAAGCCUCUCUGACUUGUUAGGGUGUUCUAGGUUGAACCAAGGAGCACAAUCUGUAACAGCAGCAGAAUAAGGAGCAUAGAAAGAUGAGCUCUCCACAGUUCACAGAAUUUCCUUCUGAUCUUGUGCUGUGGACACUGCCACUCUUUGCUAGAACUCUUGGCUUUUAUCUUUUGGAGUUAUGUAUUUUGAUACUAUUCUUCCACUUCCUCUGUCUCUCUGUUCAAAAACAAUGACUAUGGGCAGGUCUUACAUAAAUAAUUGGGUGGGAAGAUCAUGUUCUCCAAAUCCUGAUUUCUGUGUGCCAUUUUUGCUAGAAAGGGACCCAAUGCACAAUUACUAUGUACAAAUGGAAUUUACAGCCCUAAGAGGAGCUUCAGACAGAAGUAUCACCUUUGAAAGCUGCCUAGCAGCAUAUGAUCCUGCAUAUGAUGAUUCAACUGGGUGGGUGCAAGCACAGAUCAAAGUGUGAUCUUUGAUGUUCUAGCCUACCUAAACAAAAACAAAAAAAAGCAAAAAACAAACAAAACAAAAAUACCCAAUAAACCCCCCUCAUAAAAUUGCCA
ensembl:lncRNA